rnacentral:rRNA from 1 species
CAGCCGCCGCGGUAAUACGUAGGUGGCGAGCGUUGUCCGGAAUUAUUGGGCGUAAAGGGAGCGCAGGCGGACAUAUAAGUCCAUCUUAAAAGUGCGGGGCUCAACCCCGUGAGGGGAUGGAAACUGUAUGCCUUGAGUGCAGGAGAGGAAAGCGGAAUCCCCAGUGUAGCGGUGAAAUGCGUAGAUAUUGGGAGGAACACCAGUGGCGAAGGCGGCUUUCUGGACUGCAACUGACGCUGAGGCUCGAAAGCCAGGGGAGCGAACGGGAUUAGAGACCCCAGUAGUCCCUGUCUCUUAUACC